UACGGGGGGUGCGAGCGUUGUUCGGAAUUAUUGGGCGUAAAGCGCGUGUAGGCGGUUUGUUAAGUCUGUUGUGAAAGCCCCGGGCUCAACCCGGGAAGUGCACUGGAUACUGGCAGACUUGAAUACGGGAGAGGGUAGUGGAAUUCCUGGUGUAGGAGUGAAAUCCGUAGAUAUCAGGAGGAACACCGGUGGCGAAGGCGGCUGCCUGGACCGAUAUUGACGCUGAGACGCGAAAGCGUGGGUAGCAAAC
rnacentral:rRNA from 1 species